GACGUAGGGCGCGAGCGUUGUCCGGAUUUAUUGGGCGUAAAGAGCUCGUAGGCGGCUUGUCGCGUCGACUGUGAAAACCCGCGGCUCAACCGCGGGCCUGCAGCCGAUACGGGCAGGCUAGAGUUCGGUAGGGGAGACUGGAAUUCCUGGGGUAGCGGUGAAAUGCGUAGAUAUCUGGCGGAACACCGGUGGCGAAGGCGGCAUCCUGGACCAACACUGACGCUGAGUGAGCGAAAGCCAGGGGAGCAAACGGG
rnacentral:rRNA from 1 species